UUUGCUUGUAUUUUUUUGACCUUUGUUUUCAUCUUAUUUUCAGAAAUAGACAUUCUGGACUGGAUUAAUUGACUUGUACCAGGCCAACGAGUGCCUGUGGAGAAUAAAAUGUAAGGAUUACUCCAACCGGCCAAAGAAGACUCUGGCAUUCCAACAACUUGUGCUGUACAGCAAAACACUAAACUCAUAUGCUGACAUAACAUGGGUGAAGAAGAAGAUCCAAAAUCUGCAUACUGUUUUCAUGAAAGAACACAAGAAAAGCAAGGAUUCUCAAUGUUCAGGAGCCGGGACAGAUGAUGUCUAUAAACCCACACUAUGGUAUUACGAGUUACGACCUGCUCCUCUUCACCCUGGAUCAUGAGCCCACGAAGCCAUCAGACUGCUCACUGGUACCUGCCUCGCUCGUGGCCGUUGCAGACGAGGCAUUGGGGAGUCAGGAUCUGCUCGUCUCGCGCGACGUGGAUCCUGACGCUCCCGCCAGUGAGCAUUUGGAACUGGGAGAGACUAUGCUAGAGACGUCGCCCCCUCAACCAGCCAGCAAGGGGAUGAGGCCAGUGAAGCGUCAGUAACCUUCCAGUUCCAUACCAGCACGUGCAGAACAGUUUUUGGAACACACGCAGCAGGUGCUUCAGAAGCCCCCGGACCAAUUAAUGAUUUUGGGAAUGCAGAUCGCCUCAAAGUUGCAGAGUGUAGAUCAAGACCAGCUUUGGAUGUUCAAACGCAUCAUGUAUGUGCAUUGACACGUGCUCAAGCCAAGCCAUUGACUGAGAGCAUGGUCCUUCCAUCAUUCACGAUGCAGCAGCCCCUACCCCCGCCCUCAAGUCACUCCCCGAUACUAGCGUCGAUACCGCCACCACCAAACCCUGCUGCGAUGCAACCACAUCCCAGUUUUUCUGCAGCGCGGCCCCCUAUGUCACCUGUCACCCAACCCAGUUCCUCGACUGCCUUUCACUCCACAUGGCUGAGUGCACAGUCGGCUCUGCAUGGCGAUGCUAGUAAUUAUUUUGAUAGCGAUUUUUAAAUAUGUGUUCCUAAAAAUGUUCUGCACUUUCGUGAGUUCUUGAUCCAGGAUGAUGGAAGUAUGGUUGAAGUACCAUAGUGGUAGUUUUGGACUUCAUCUGCUCCUGCUACCUGAUGUUGGGAUUUCUUGUUUUUCUUGUGUUCUUUUGAAAAGACUUUGAUUGAAAAUAUUUUUCUUGGCCCUAGUCAUGUUAGCAUCAAUGUUAUGUACUUUGCUGUAGCUGUGAAGUUGUUGGAGUGCCAGAAUUUGUUGGAGUAACCUUUGCUCUAAAGGCACUCGUUGGUAUACAAGCCAAUGAAUCCAGUCCAGAAUUCUUUGUUAAUUUUUUUUUAAAAACCUUUUGAAAAAAAUAAAAAAAUAAAAUAAAAA